GAUGAACGCUGGCGGCGUGCCUAAUACAUGCAAGUCGAGCGAACAGACGAGGAGCUUGCUCCUCUGACGUUAGCGGCGGACGGGUGAGUAACACGUGGAUAACCUACCUAUAAGACUGGGAUAACUUCGGGAAACCGGAGCUAAUACCGGAUAAUAUAUUGAACCGCAUGGUUCAAUAGUGAAAGACGGUUUUGCUGUCACUUAUAGAUGGAUCCGCGCCGCAUUAGCUAGUUGGUAAGGUAACGGCUUACCAAGGCGACGAUGCGUAACCGACCUGAGAGGGUGAUCGGCCACACUGGAACUGAGACGCGGUCCAGACUCCUACGGGAGGCAGCAGUAGGGAAUCUUCCGCAAUGGGCGAAAGCCUGACGGAGCAACGCCGCGUGAGUGAUGAAGGUCUUCGGAUCGUAAAACUCUGUUAUUAGGGAAGAACAAAUGUGUAAGUAACUAUGCACGGCUUGACGGUACCUAAUCAGAAAGCCACGGCUAACUACGUG
rnacentral:rRNA from 1 species